CACGUUUAUUCUGCGUGUCGUACGACACGCGACGACAAUUCUCACCUCGUUGUCACGCGACUCUUGUCGCUUGAUUCUGAUUGUCGUCUCGAGUGAGGUGAGAGCUUCAUUUUCGAUGUGAGAAAAGAAAUGAACCAAAACAACUGCGAUGUUCAUCUGCCAAACUGUCAACGCGGUGGUGUUUAGCGAAAGCGCUUGAAAUAUGGCGUAUUCAAUUAUUGAUAUUUUUAAAAUUGUAUUCCGAUCUUGAUUUUUUCGGAGUAAAAUAGGAAAUUUCUAGAAAAAGUCACGUAUUUCAUAUGUUUUCAUCUUGUUUUAAUGCUUAGGUGGUAAUCAAAUUAAACUUUAUUACGGUACACCGACAUUUGCAAAGUUAUUUACAUGACGCAACUAUAAUUUCGUUUGGCCCUUAUUUGAGUUCACAAAAUUAGUCUUGUUUUGCUGUAUCCCGUAAACUUCUAUGAACAAAAUUGUUUCAAACUGCUGAUAUUUUUGAUAGUGACCGGGAAAAAACCGUAAAAAUUAUUAGAGCCGUUUCUCCCAAUUGUUGCUGAAUAAAUAAUUCAUCCAGAUCUAGAGUGUGAAUCGUUUGCCAUCACUAGCUAAUCCCUGGGAAAACAACUGCGGAUGUUCAGCCGCGUCAAAACGGAAAAAGUGCUGAACUCCAAGGUGAAAACACGAGCGGAUCAAAGUACAUCCGUGACCGUGGUUCUAAUUACUUGACCGCAGAGGAUCCUGGUGAACAAAUCUCGUGAUGUAAAUGCCGGACGCGGCAGAUAAGGCUGUUAAAGAUGGUCAGUAACGCGGCGGAUUGGUGUCAACCGUGUUAAUUCGAAUGAUCAGCUGCCAGCAUCCGGCAAACGAGCUGAAUGGUGUUUUCGAAGACAAUGGGAAACCUGCGGAUGUUUGUAUCACAUCCGCAGGUAGCGAAAUGAUCGAAUGUGGCCAAUGAUUUGUAUACAUGAACAAGUCCCUCCUUGGCUUCGGUGCGUGACGUUUUACACCUUCGUGAAGAAAUCUAUGCCCAUUUUCCGGUUUCGAUCUAGGUACUUGUUCUUGAUUUUGGCAGGUUGAGUAUACCACCUUCGCGUCGCGUACCAUGGAAAUAGUACGCUUGUUAUACACAGCGUGAGCGUGGUGCCGCUGAUGGUGGUCGAAAACGAGACUGCUGUAUAGAGACAAAAGUGUACCUAAACGACUGUGUUGAAGAUAUCCUAACUGUUUUUAAAGCAAUUUUAAAUGAAUAAAACAAAAUAUGCAUUGCAAUUUAUUUUCAAUUUAUCACUAUCAUUAAUUCCUACUACGCAAUUAUUCUUAUAUGUGAAAAUCCACCUGGAAAGUAGGAAAUACGUGGAUUUUUUGUGUACUAAAUAACUGGAAAAUCCUCAGAGAAUUUCAAGGAGGAUGACACAAGUUUUGCGAAGCCGAAAUAUCUCAAUAAAGACAAAAAAAAGUAAAACUUUUGCGGCUUUUACUGGUUUAUUUUCGUCUUUUCCGCCGUCACCUAUACUGCCCCCACUCGCAUAACAGUCCCAUCUUUGCUGGGAUUCCUAUUCAUAUGGGACAGUUUUGCGAGUGGGGGCAGUAUAAGAAGGUUAAAAACACCACUUGGAGAACCGACUUUCGAUCCGAGGCCCGCCGGGCCGAUGUUAUGCUUUUGGUCAAAAAAUCCGAAGUGACCUACUUAUCUAUUUAGAAAUGUCGCAACUCAAUUUGGAUUAGUGCAUAUUGUAGUUCUUAAUUAGCUCAAUAAUGCGCAAUAGAAAAACUAGAUUCAAAUUUACUUCGCAGCUGCAAAUUCGCCUGUGCUUCGAGCGACGACUUCGAUUUGGUGGUGCGACGAUAAUACUUGGUUACAGAGAUACCAUUCGAAGAGUAUUUCAGAGUAGUACAAUUUAGUUAUUUAGAAUUUCUGGUGGAUCAUUGAAGACAUGCGUAGAAGUUUCUGGAAAAUAUCUGACGACCCUCUUAACGAAACCCCCAAAGUAUUUUUUCUCUGAUCUAUUUUGAUCUUUCUAUAAUAUGUAUGUUCAAUAUGUAGAAACAUAUUGAACAGAAUUCUAGGAGUAAUCUGUUUCGAAUAGAAUAUCAAAAAUAAUCUUAUGUAAUAUAUUAGAAUGAACUCUCUUAUGAUUCCUUCUGGGACUCCUCCAGGGAUUCCAAAAAAAUGCUUAAGAGUGAUUUAUUUAACAAAAAAAUAUAUAUAAAAUAAAUAAAUAAAUGCUCCACGAAUUCUCCGGAGGGUUUCUUGUGGAUAUCUGAAUGAUUUUUAGA